GGUUUCUCGGUUCCGGAGCAGUAAAUCACCGUCAGACAAACACCAAAGUUUAAAAAAGUCCUAAUGGAGGAGCUGGCGGCCAAUUCAACUUCUGCCGGAUGAUAAUCGAUCCAGAUCCAACCUUGUGGAGAAGCUAAGUGUUCAGAAAACAUAAAAAAAGAUACCGAUGCGAAUCGCGAGAAGAAUAUUAUGGAUGACGGAAAAUCUCGACUUUUCUCGACAAGGCCAAUUACGGUUGCUAUCGUUGCUAUCAAACUGUGUCGGGGACGGUGGACAGAAACAUAGGCACGGGUAUUUUUUCGCAUUCUUGACAUGAGCAAAGCAACAAAAAUAAAAAGCCCCGCUAACAGUCCCGACUCCCGACGCAGAUGGAUUGCCCUCGACGUAGUGCUGAGCGGUUCCUAGACACGCACUUACACGUUCCGGAUGAACAUUGAACAUGCAUUGAACCUCCAAAAGCAACACCAGCUGGGAAGCGUUGACGAUUAGCGAUUCAGCAGUCUCCUCGUGGAACCGUUAUUUGCCGGUUGAAAUGCUCUCGAAGGCGAGAGGAUACACACUGCGCAGCAGGACCAGCUUGGCCAACCAGUCCAUCGGAAGUGCUGGGGUAUCGACAGUAGAAUCUUUGCUAUGUGAAGAUCGUUUAGGGCCGGAAACCAGCUAGAUUUAGAAUUGAUUCUUCCAGCUCUGUUGACAACAGCGGAAAUGUUAUAAAACAACUUUUUGAGGCCUUUAGCAUUGACGACAGGAUAUCAAUUAGGUACAUUUUUGUGAAGUGAGUGAAUAAAUAGAUAGAAAAAC